AGUGCUGUAAUAGUAAUUCAACUUAGUAUGAGAGGAACUGUUGAUUUGCACAAUUGGUAAUUGCGCUUGGUUGAAAAGCUAGUGGCGUGAAGCUACCAUGCAUGGGAUUAUAACUGAAUGCCUCUAAGUCAGAAUCUGUGCUAAAUGUAGUGCUCUCUACCUCCUUAACUGUUACCUGAUUAAGGUUAAGGGGGCCAAGAACACAUGACGUGAGCACCAUGUAAGUGGUAGAGUAGCUUUGCUGUUACGAUCCAUUGAGGUUCAUCCCUCUGUCUUUUGUCUU
rnacentral:ncRNA from 1 species